rnacentral:rRNA from 1 species
CCUACGGGAGGCUGCAGUAGGGAAUUUUCGGCAAUGGGGGGAACCCUGACCGAGCAACGCCGCGUGAACGAAGAAGUUAUUCGUAAUGUAAAGUUCUUUUAACAGGGAAGAAAGAGAAAUUUGACGGUACCUGAAGAAUAAGCUCCGGCUAACUACUGGCCGGCAGCCGCGUAAAUACGUAGGGAGCGAGCGUUAUCGGGAAUUAUUGGGCGUAAGGGGUGCGUAGAUGGCAUAGAAAGUCUUUUGUAAAAAUGCUGGGCCAAACCCAGUAGGGCAAAAGAUACUGCAAAGCUAGAGUAUGACAGAGGCAAGUGGAACUACAUGUGUAGCGGUAAAAUGCGUAAAUAUAUGUAAGAACACCAGUGGCGAAGGCGGCUUGCUGGGUCGAUACUGACAUUGAGGCACGAAAGCGUGGGGAGCAAACAGGAUUAGAUACCCGAGUAGUC